rnacentral:misc_RNA from 1 species
GAUGAAGAACGCAGCGAAAUGCGAUAAGUAAUGCGAAUUGCAGAAUUUCCGUGAGUCAUCGAAUCUUUGAACGCACAUUGCGCCCGCCAGCAUUCUGGCGGGCAUGCCUGUUCGAGCGUCAUUUCAACCCUCAAGCUCUGCUUGGUGUUGGGGCCCUACGGUUGACGUAGGCCCUUAAAGGUAGUGGCGGACCCUCUCGGAGCCUCCUUUGCGUAGUAACUAACGUCUCGCAUUGGGAUUCGGAGGGACUCUUGCCGUAAAACCCCCAAAUUUUCUAAUGGUUGACCUCGGAUCAGGUAGGAAUACCCGCUGAACUUAAGCAUAUCAAUAAGCGGAGGA